UUACUGAGAUUUGAGGCAUUUUUGGCUCUCUCUCAUGAACAAACAAAGAGAAAUGGCUUCCGGAGUUCUUUAUACUCCGCAACCCAGAGGCCCAGAGGACCUCGGGCGUGAAGAAUACAAAGUCUCUGUCCCUAUCAAAAUCCUCAAAAUGACCAUUCCUCUGAUUUUGACAGACAGGGAAAAGAGCUUCAACGGUUCUUAUGGGAGCUGUUUUGAGGACAAAUAACCGAGUCUUUUUGGUCUCCCUGUCUUCUUUAUUUGGAUUGUCGUCUCUUGUGGACGGACUACUCAAGGUCGUUUUGUUCGGUCAAAUAAGUCCAC